UAUCCUGGGAUGUUCGAUACCCUGCAAUUUUGAACCUACAUUUACUUUUAUGGGAUUCCAAGAUCGCUUGGUUGGAUGCCAGGCCUCCUUUGUAGUGGAAGGCAGAAGACAAGUUGAGGUUACCCACCUAGCUCGGGCUAGGAGUCAAAAUAGCAGGAAACGGCAUUUUGGGU
rnacentral:other from 1 species